AGGGAAAUAGUAAGAGAAAUUUACCAGUAAAGUCUGCUUCUUACGAGCAAAUCCACUUGCCUCCGAGCAAUGAUGCCUCAAUCUUCAUCAGACCCAGGAAGAACAAGGAUAAGAAUGAGCUCGACCUGUGCUGUAUAUAUAAGGAGCCAUGGAAGAAGUUGUGGCAUGACCAUGGUGAUGAAGAAACCUUCCUUCCAUUGCAUACUUUUUUCCUCCUCCUCUCAUGACAGUUUAGGGGAAUGUUGUCUGGCUCGAAGCCAUUGGAACGAGAACAGUGUCUUGAUCUAUCCUUAUCGACAUGAGUGGAUUCGGACCAGGCUUCAUUCCCCUCAACUCAUGGAAUUGUUUGGAGUCAUCUGGAAGAGAUCAGCUUGAAUGCUCACAAGAAACUGUUCCAGCUUCCAGUGUUCACGUUCUUGAUUGCUUGUCUGGUUUAAAUGGAGAGGUUUUCUAGUGUGAAGACAAGGCAGGAGGUGGCUCAGAUUGAAUUUUUUGGUGAUGUUUAUGCUUUCACCUUAGCAGAAAGAAGAAAAAAAAACAGAUCUCAAGAAGAUGGAAUUCUGGAGAUCAGAUGCUUGGAUUGAAAGUCUUUCUUUCUUUGCUUCCUAAAAGAACUGCAUUCUCAAGAAAUAUUUACGACCACAUUUAUUUGAUAAUAUCAUCAAUCACAUGACAUCAAAGCGCUGAUUAUGGAAAAUCAAGAUAUCGAUCAUAUGAUAUCGAAAUAUUGGUCAUGUGACAUUGAGAUAUCGAUCAUAUUAUUAUUCGUGUAUCAAUUAUAAAUUGUGAAGAGUAUGAAGGGCCAAUAUCUUCCUUGGCUCAUCAUUUGACUUGUUGGGGAAGGACUUGCACUAUCCAGCUAAUGGAAGUUGAAGACAACAUUGCUUUCAGCAAUGGCAUGGUCUGCCUACCAUCCAUGGCAGAAGUAGGAGAACAGCACUCACUGGAAAGAUUGGUGGCCCACACCACCUAAACCAAGAACAAGAAGGUGGGGUUCAUCUCUCUCUGAACUCAACAUUUGUAGACACUAAUGCAUGGCCAUCAUGGUGUGCAAUCAGAGAGAUGGUGUUCUACUACUCUUACUUACUACUCCUCUCUCACAUUGGCAAGGAAGAUUUCUGAGUCAUCCAUUAUCCAACUUGUAAAUCAAGAUCAAGAAGCCCAAUCCUUCUAUACUUUAAAUAAUACUAUUG